GGAGGGUGCGAGCGUUGUUCGGAAUCACUGGGCGUAAAGGGCGUGUAGGCGGUCCGCUAAGUCUGAUGUGAAAGCCCGGGGCUCACCCCCGGAAGGGCAUUGGAAACUGACGGACUCGAGUCCCGAAGAGGAGGGUGGAAUUCCUGGUGUAGCGGCGAAAUGCGUAGAUAUCAGGAGGAACACCGGUGGCGAAGGCGGCCCUCUGGACGGUGACUGACGCUGAGACGCGAAAGCGUGGGGAGCAAACAGGAUUAGAUACCCUGGUAGUCCACGCUGUAAACGAUGAGCACUAGGUGUCGUGGGUAUUGACCCCCGCGGUGCCGCAGCUAACGCAUUAAGUGCUCCGCCUGGGGACUACGGCCGCAAGGUU
rnacentral:rRNA from 1 species